CUCAGCAUGUGUGGGGCGCCUUGUGGAUGCCAGGGGUGUCCAAAGCAAGUGACAGACAGAACACAGUGGGCCCUGGCGGGUGGUUGGGGGCGGCUUUUGUCCGGGUGUCUGCGGCGUUUCCAUGUGGCUCUGCAGAGACCAGAGUGCAGGAGCGCUGGCGAGGGGUGCGGGCCCGCAGUGGGUGGACGGAGAGGAGAUGGGAGCGCUGGCGAGGGGUGCGGGCCUGCGGCGGGUGGACGGGGAGGAGAUGGGAGCACUGGUGAGGGUGCCCAUGCGUUGUGGGACGCAGGCUCGUGGGCAGCUUCAGGGGCCGGGAGAUCAGAGUCACCCAGUGCCCGACUCAGAAGUGAAAAUGCCUCUAGCUGACCCCAGCCCCCCGUGGUUCUGGUGACCUGGCUGAGGUCUGGACGCGUGGAGUGGGGACAGGAUGCCCCCUGGUCCCAUCAGUUCCUGACCACUUGAGCCGGGGUGGGCUUUGCGUCACUAGGUGGGGGGGGGGUCUGUCAGACCACUGUCACAAGCUGGCUGUCAUGAGCUUCUACCUCACUCAGGUACAGUGGGGUGGGCGAGGCAGGCAGGGCAUGGGGGUGCUGAGAGGCGGCCUGUGGCCCUGAAGCUCUGCUGUCCCCGCCCCCGGCUUCCCAAGGUCCUCGUCGCCUCGCGGUUCCCCCAGG
rnacentral:lncRNA from 1 species